UACGGAGGAUGCGAGCGUUAUCCGGAUUUAUUGGGUUUAAAGGGUGCGUAGGCGGCCUGUUAAGUCAGCGGUAAAAGCCCGGGGCUCAACCCCGGCGAGCCGUUGAAACUGGCGGGCUGGAGUUGGCGAGAAGUAUGCGGAAUGCGCGGUGUAGCGGUGAAAUGCUUAGAUAUCGCGCAGAACUCCGAUUGCGAAGGCAGCAUACCGGUGCCACACUGACGCUGAGGCACGAAAGCGUGGGUAUCGAACAGG
rnacentral:rRNA from 1 species